rnacentral:rRNA from 1 species
CAAAAGCGUAUAUUAAAGUUGUUGCAGUUAAAAAGCUCGUAGUUGAACCUUGGGCUUGGCUGGCCGGUCCAUCUUUUUUGAUGCGUACUGGACCCAGCCGAGCCUUUCCCUCUGGCUAGCCUUUUGGCGAACCAGGACUUUUACUUUGAAAAAAUUAGAGUGUUCAAAGCAGGCCUUUGCUCGAAUAUAUUAGCAUGGAAUAAUAGAAUAGGACGUUAUGGUUCUAUUUUGUUGGUUUCUAGGACCAUCGUAAUGAUUAAUAGGGACGGUCGGGGGUAUCAGUAUUCAGUUGUCAGAGGUGAAAUUCUUGGAUUUACUGAAGACUAACUACUGCGAAAGCAUUUACCAAGGACGUUUUCAUUAA